rnacentral:rRNA from 1 species
CUUGAAUCAAUUUAUUUAAUUAUAGCUUAUUUUACUGUGAAGGAUAAUUUUUAUUAAUUUUAAAGAAAAUUUGGUUUAUUGUACCUUUUGUAUCAGGGUUGAUUAAUUUAUUGCUAUUAAUAUAGUUUUCCCGAAAUUAAAAGAGCUAUAGAUAAAUAUAUUUUACUGUUUAAUAAGUAUUUAAAAUUUUUUUAUAGUAGUGAAACGUUAUUCGUUUUUAAUUAUAUCUGGUUUUUUAAUAGAUAAAUUUAAUUUAUCCUUUAUUUUCAAUAGAUAUUAUUUUUUAUAUUUAUUUAAUUAAGGUUUAAAACUCAGGGGGAUAAGCUUCUGAUUUUAUUAAAAGGUUUUGUUAAUAAGUAGUUUAUAGGAUUAGAAUUUUCUAUUUAUGAGAGGGUGUUAUAAUUAACUACUUUCUUAGUAUUAUUUUUAUUUUUCUUUAAUUUAUUAUUAAAAUUUUAAUUUUAAUUUGUUUUAUUAUGUAAUAAUGAUUGAAUUAGUAUAGUUUUUUGUAUUAAUAUGUUUAUUAUGCAGGUUAGUCUAAGGAAUUCGGCAAUUUAAAUUUUCACCUGUUUAAUAAAAACAUGUCUUUUUGUUUAUGAUUUAAGGUCUGACCUGCCCAAUGAUUUUUAAAUGGCUGCAGUAUUUUGACUGUACAAAGGUAGCAUAAUCAUUAGUUUCUUAAUUAGAAGCUGGAAUGAAUGGUUUGAUGAGAAAUUUACUGUCUCAGACUAAUUUUUUUAGAAUUUUAUUUUUAAGUGAAAAAGCUUAAAUUUUUUAGAAAGACGAGAAGACCCUAUAGAGUUUUAUAUAUUUAUAGUUAUUAAUUUAAUGUUUUAAAUUUUUUUAAUUUUUUAAUGUAUUUUGUUGGGGUGAUGCGAAAAUUUUUUUAACUUUUCUUAAUUUUUACACUAAUUAGUGAUUUAAUGAUCCUUUUUGGACUACAAGAUUAAAUUACCUUAGGGAUAACAGCGUAAUUUUUUUUGAAAGCUCUUAUUGAUAAAAAAGUUUGCGACCUCGAUGUUGGAUUAAAGUUAAUUUUUGGUGUAGAAGCUAGGAAUAUUAGGUCUGUUCGACCUUUAAAACUUUACAUGAUCUGAGUUUAGACCGGCGUGAGCCAGGUUGGUUUCUAUCUUUUAAAUUUUGAAAUGUUUUAGUACGAAAGGACCAGAUGUUUAAAUUAUAUUUUUAUUUUGAAUAAAGUU